AUCCCGCCUGUGCCAGGGCGUCCCCGAUGGACACCAGAGGUCGGAAUCUCAGCUGAGCGAGGUUGGUGGUUUGAUGUCUCCUUGGCCAAUUCCGGCUCUCAAGUGGAUCUGAUGCAUCCAGGGCUGAAGGCUGGCUAUCACUCAUGAACACAGACGACUGGUAUCUGACAUCUAGAUCUUUGUUCCUGGAUAUGGGAGAAAGUUGUCCAUAAUUGGGGUCUCUUAGUCCCUAUUACUGUGGGCAAGGAGGCAAAGAAACCUUCAAGCAAUACUAUUUUGGGGACUUAUCUUGUUUUGAAACUUGUAAGAAAGUUAUGGGCAAGGCUAUUUUGAAAAAAGGAAAAAGAAACAGAAAACUUAUCUACAUACCCCUUCCACACACACCCCCACUGGAUCCUGCUUCUCAAGGUUUUUAGCAUCAUUAAAACUUAUUUUGCUGAGUCCCCUUCCCUGCUUCUCUGGCAUUUCCUUCUCUGGCAUCAGAGGGAUAGACAACUUUCUAGUCGAUGGAGGAGGAGAGGAUCACAAGACCCUCACUUGGAAUUCCAGCAAUUUCUUCCUGCCCUCUCCCUGGCUGCAAGUGAUGUGAGAGAAGCUAGAGUACAUAAAAAAAGAAAAAAAAAGAAAAAACAGAAAGUCAACUGAGCAGCUUCCAUGAGCUCACCACGCAGGGUGGCAUGGGCCUUUGUGGAGGUGCAGCUGCCUUUGGGUACCCACACUCCUGUAAGUAGUGCCUCACUCGUGCUCUGUAGGUAACCCAUGAACUCAUUGGUUCAUGCAAACUUGACGUUAGUACAAUCAGACUUUGGUCUGUCAUCUGAGCCCUUUCUGGGGUGAAGAGAUAUGUGUCUGUAUGAAAAAAAACAAACAAACCAGCAACAAACAUUCCAUACGACACUUGGUGCUCAAAUGUGAAACACAACAGAAGCAGAGGCAGGGGGAUCGUCGUGAGUUCGAGGCCACCCUGUGACUACGUAGUGAAUUCCAGGUCAGCCUGAGCUGGAGCGAGACCCUACCUCAAAAAACCAAACCAAAACAACAACAAAAAACUACAAAACUGUUGGAGGAAGGAUUAGACAAUAUGUUGCAUUCUGUAAGAGUUGCCAGGAAGUCAUUAUGGAGUUGCAUGGCUACCUAAGGCUGGGGUGACUGCCCUGAGGGAACUUGUUUAUUUAUGUAAAAGAAGAGUUAGGCUGGAA